ACAAAGGCACCUGUCAGUUGCCUGGCUAUAAAGGUGGCCUCUCCCUCUUCCCAGCACAGACCUCGGUGGGCAGCAGCUGCGGCACUCAGCUCUGGGGGGUCUCCUUCCUCGGGGAGGCAAAAUGGCAGGAGGAAGGAGGCACUCAUCCCGCAAUGGGAUGCUGAGGAACAGGCAGAAGGCAAGUUCGCUUGCUGGGUCCCAGGGUGGGAUCGCAGCUUGAAGGCAGCCAAUUCCCAGAGUCAGAAGCUGGCUGGUGUCUGGAAACAGACCUGGCAGAAGCCGGCAGGUGUUGGUGGCUGGUGGAGUUUGCAGUCAGAAACCAGCGGGUGCCGUAAGGUGCUGCAGGUGUCAGCUGGCUGAAGGUCACCUUUGGAAGUCAGCUGUGUGGAUAUUCAUGACUUGAAGCUGGAUGUGUGUGUGUGUGUGUGUGUGUGUGUGUGUGUGUGUGUGAAUGCGUCCACAGACAUUCCUCACGGGAUGGCAGAUGGCAUGUGUCUAUGAGUGCAAAUGGGAGGUUUCGAAUAGAGUGUGUCUAUGAGUGCAAAUGGGAGGUUUCGAAUGGAGUGUGUCUGCGUGUGUGAAUGGGAGCAUUCGGACGUGGUCCAGGUAAGUAGUGUUGUGGCUGGGAAAUACGUGCUCAGCGGGUGGCAGAUGCCAUCCUCUGGGCGCAGGGUGAAUGGAACCAGUGGAUAUUCAUGGGCAGAAACCAGCAGAAGUUGACCAGGACGUCCGGGGUGAAGUUGCCAGGCAGCAGCCAGUGGAGGGUCUGGCUGAGGCUGCUGGACGGAGGCCAUCCCACUCAACGUGUUGUUUGCCUUCCAGGAAGCCGGUGAGGUUUUCCCCAAGACCGACCGUGAAAGUAAUGAAGAGAACAGCAGGACUGAAGCAAGGCAGUUUAUUUUCAUCAUCAUCAUCAUCAUUUAUUUAUAUCCCGCCCUCCCCAGCCGAAGCCGGGCUCAGAGUGGCUAACAAUAAAAGUAAUGCAACAUUCUAAAAUCAGUUCAUUUUAAAAUCAGUUCAGGAUCAAAUUAAUGGCAACCAUUGGGCUAGAGUUCAGUGAGGAUUACAGAAGGAGGGGGUCAGACUGUGCCUUGGCCAAAGGCCUGGUGGAACAGCUCCGUCUUGCAGGCCCUGCGGAAACACGUCAAAUCCCGCAGGGCCCUAGUCGCUUGUGACAGAGCGUUCCACCAGAUUGGGGCCACAACCGAAAAAGCCCUGGCUCUGGUUGAGGCCAGCCUAACCUCCCUGUGACCCGGGACCUCCAAGAUGUUUUUGUCUGAAGACCGUAAGGUCCUCCGUGGGACAUACCAGGAGAGGCGGUCCUGUAGGGACGAGGGUCCUAGGCCGUAUAGGGCUUUAAAGGUCAAAACCAGCACCUUGAACCUGAUCCUGUACUCCACCGGGAGCCGGUGCAGCUGGUAUAGCACCGGGUUAAUGUGAUCCUGCAGUGAGGACCCCGUAAGGCGUCUUGCCGCAGCAUUCUGCACCUGCUGGAGUUUCUGGGUCAGCUUCAAGGGCAGCCCUGCAUAGAGUGAGUUACAAUAAUCCAGUCUGGAGGUGACCGUUGGUGGCUCACAGUGGCUAGGUCAUGCCUUUUUAAAAAAAAUGCCUUUUUUUAAAAAAAGUAAAACUGUGUCUGACUGAUGUCAUAUAAAACAAAUGCAAUGCUAAGUUUCUAAAUGCAUACAUGUUUAGUGUUCUUUCUUGCCACCUCCCAUGAGGGGUUGUGCAGCUGUUUCUGUAGUUGCCAAUGGCUAUGAUGAUGUCAAAGUGUAAUGGCUACGAUGAUGUCGAAACUUCUGUGAUGUCACAAACAGACAUGGAUUCCUGAGAGGAAAAGCAGGAGGGUGUAGGGAUAGAAAGACAGGGUGAGAAAGGCUAGAGAACUAGAUGGCUUUAAAAGAAGACUGGACAAAUUCAUGGAUUCGGUGGGUGCCAGAAGUUGCUGCAGAUGUCAGCAUUUGAAGGUCUCCUUUGGAAGUCAGUUGACAGAAGCUGUGUGGAGAUUCAUGGCUUGAAGCUGGUGUGUUUGUGUGUGUUUAUGAAUGGAGAGCAGCUGGUGAGUGAAUGCGUCCACAGACAUUCUUCAUGGGAUGGCAGAUGGCGUGUGUCUGCGUGUGCAAAGGGAAGCGUUCGGACGUGGUCUAGGAGAGCAGUGCUUAUGUCUGGGAAAUGCAUGUUCCAUAUGUUAAGUCUGCAAGCUGUGCAUAUUCUGUCAACUUAACAUAAAGAGAACAAGAAGAACAUACAUUGAAAGAAGACUAGAAAAGGCUGAUUGAAUAUAUGGUAAAUAACUAUGUACACAUUUCUCGUUGAGACUAUGCCUGACCUGACACAUGUUGACCAGCUGAUAAUUGUGGUUUGAUAUUGAUCCACUGUCCCCUCCUGCUACUUCCCUUUCCCUGCCCGCAGCUUCCCCAUUCCUUUUCUGGCUAUCCUGGGGCACCCCCAGGAUGACCUUCCUCUUCUGCAGGGGAGAAACGAGGCUUUCUUUCACCCGGGUCAAAGACUCAGUUUGGCACCCCCUCACACACACAUUAUAGUAGUAGUAGGAGUAGUUGAAGAUGAAGAAGAAAAUGUGAUGAUGAUCAGGCGCAUACCAGAGAGUAAGCCCUACUGAACUCAGUGAGACUUAAUUCUUCUCAGUAGUAAAGGCUUGCACUUUAAGGCUCUAAAGAAUAGAAUAGAAUAGAAUAGAAUAGAAUAGAAUAGAAUAAUAAAUACUCCACAAGUUUCCUUGAAAAAUUACUGGCUGCUGAACCAUGAAAAGCUCUCAGACCCAGGGAAAUUAAUUGGUACACAAUGCAAUCAAAAUAUGGCUCAAGCAAAAGUGUGGUGCACCCUAAGUUAUGUCUUUUAAUUUAAAUGAUAGCUCUGAGUAAAACCUCGUUGGCUACCAUGAAGUAUUUUUUUCGGAAGUCAUGAAAAAAGGUCUCAGGGUAAAUAAGCAAGUCUGAAUGUGAAUAAGAUUUGCAGUACAGACUGCCUUAAUUCACCUUCCGGCCUGGCAUUUACCAUAUUUUUUCAUGUAUAACCUGCCCCCACGUAUAAGACACCCCCUAUUUUGGGGGACUCCAAAUUGAGAAAAUGGGGGGGGGGAGAUUGUAUCUGUGUAUAAGACGACCCACAAAUUUGAACCUAUUUUUAAAAUAAAAAACCCUAGUCUUAUACACGGAAAAGUACGGUAUCUCUUGAGUCUGUCAGCCAACCUUUCCUCUUGGGCCCAGAGUCCUCAGCUCCCUUGGCCAGAGCAGCUGCCCCUUUAGACAUCUCGGACAGUCGCUCAACAAGGCAGGGAGCUUCAGAUCAGGAAUGCUGUCCUGCCAACCUCACGGUUCAGGCAAGAGACCCCAAGCGCAUAAAAUUCAAAUCUUUCAUACAUUUCCCUACAUAGAAUCAUAGAAUUUGGGAGUUGGGUCAUCUCAAUGAAAGCAUCUAUGGCAGAUGUCCAUCCGACCUCUGCUUAGAAGCCUCCAGAGGAUGAGAGUCCACAUGGAACACAUCUGCAGUUACACUGGCUCCGUGUUUAUUCAUUCUUCCCCCUCUUAUCUUCUCUGCAGUUUCUAACCAGCGCCAUGCUCUCUCCAACUGAAUGGUCUCCUGCCCCCCCUUUUAACCCUUUGCCUUAGUUUCCAGGUUCCCCAUUUCAAUGGUCACCGAACCACAGAUUUAAUCCCACAGCUGCCACACCUCACUGACUUCCCCCAACUUACUCAACCGCAUAUUCUUUAACAUGUAACAAUAGCAUGCUAAUGCAAGCAUUGCCAUUUUUUUCGUAAUUUUCCAGAACUCUCUCUUUCUCUCCCGCUCACUCCAUUUCCAUGCUGACAAGGACUGAACAGGAACGCAUGGACUAUGCAGAAUUAGAUAAAUUAACAGGAAAGGUUCGAAACCUGUGGGACCAGAGAUUCUUAGAAGACUGGAGUAAAUAUGUGAACUAUUUGAAAAGUAAUUGUAAUGAACAGAUCACGCUAGUAGGACUGCAAGAAGUUCUGUAAGGAGGACGAUUUGAAAUAUUGCAAGAAAGACUACGAGGAGAGUUAUUAGUUAAUGAUGAUUAAGAGUAAUAGAGAAAUUAAGAAAUGCAGAAUAAGUGAUAAAGAAUGAAAAAUCAUCAGAGGAGUUGACGGAAGUCUAGAAUAUUGUAUAAGAUAAGAAGUUAAGUUAUAUGGUUGUUGGAAAUGAUGUUUAAAAAACCCCAAUAAAAAUGUGUGUGUGUGUGUGUGUGUGUGUGUGUGUGUGUGUGUGUGUACUGAACAGGACCGCUUUUGUGCCACUCAUGUUCCCCCGCCAUGGCCAUUUGAGGAAGCGCAUGGAGCUCUCUGGCCAACAGGGCUCUUGAUUCUUCUGAAGGCCUCCUCUCAGCAUUCCUGGCUGGCUCUGAGCCCACCUUUCCCAUCUUCUUACUGCUCCUGAUGCUAAGAGGGAGGCAGACCCCGAUGGCUCCAGCACGACCCCCUUCCUCCUCGCAGGAGGUCACUCACCUGGACUUGGCGGCUGGUCCAGGCACUCCUGGAAGGGGAUUCCCAGAGCUGCAAGCCUGAACUGCCAGGUGCUGGGAAGAGCUGCAAGAAGGAGCUUGUCUGUGGGUCAGACACAAACCCAAAUUGUGUCUUUUCCCCCAACACACACACAGGGAGAACUCCUAUUUCUCCCCAAACCAAUGACCUAGAAGCUGCUCUUCUGAUGGUGAACGCUUGAGUCAUCUUUCUCUAUGGAAUGGUCAUAUUUUACAACAACAACAUAACAGCUUGCUGGAUAGGGCCCAUCUAGUCCAGUAUCCUGUUCUCAAAGGGGCUGGAGAGUUUCCUGUGGGGAGCCAGCAAGCAGGAUUUUAGCACCAGCAGGGGCAGAACUGGAUGUUCGCAAACGUGGCCCCCGCCAAGGGCACCCCCCCCACAGGGCUGCCGAAAUCAUGGUACUUCGCCUGAACUUUCUUUAAUUUGUCCUGAGUCUUUUGGGGUUUUUGAUAAUUGCAGAGGUAUUGCUCAAGACCUGUUUAUCAGUGGUGUGCAAGGCUUACUUGGGCAAACACUAGCCUUGUGUAAGACUUCAGUGUUGAACUUUUUAAUUAAAGUGGAAAUGUCUCCCCCUGCCCCACCCCAAAGCACAAGGUGUCAGUUUUGCCCACUGGGAAUCAUGAUAACCUUUGCUCAGAAUUCGCUAGGGACUAGGGCCUUGGUAGCCCUGGUCAGUUUUGGAGUAUGAUGUAGGUUUAACAGGGUCAGUCUGGAAGCUGCAUCUGUGUGGGUGGAAUGUAUAAGAACAGGCUUGCAAACCAGUCUGCUUGUCAGGCAAUGGCUUUGGCUGACUACUUAAGAUUAGCAUAAUCAUAGAUUCGUAGAGUUGAGGGGUCAUUUAGUCCAACUGCAAUGCAGGAAUGCAGUUGCUCUGUGCCAUGGAACAGAUGGGUACCUCCAUCUGGUUUAUUCCCACAUAUAUAUCACCACCCACCAGUGAGCUUGACAUUGACACCAGGAAAGGUCCGAGAACAGAUAAUUCAUUAGUCAGUCUAUGAGAACUUAGAAAAGGAUGCUGUGAUUACUAAGACCCAGCAUAGGUUUCUCAAAGAUAAGUCAUGUCAGAUGAACCCAAUUUCUUUCUUUUUUAUGGAGUAACAAGCUUGGUAGAUCAGGGGAAUGCUGUGGACAUAGCGUAUCUUGAUUUCAGUAAGUUCUUUGGACAAAGUCCUCCAUGAUAUUCUUGCGAGGAAUCUGGUAAAAUGUGGGUUGAACGAGGUAACUGUUAGGUGGAUUUGUAGCUGGUUGGCUGCUCCCAUUGGCUAUGGGUUGUCUAUGAUAUCACAAAGGCACCUGUCAGUUGCCUGGCUAUAAAGGUGGCCUCUCCCUCUUCCCAGCCCAGACCUCGGUGGGCAGCAGCUCUGGGGGGUCUUCUUCCUCAGGGAGGCAAAAUGGCAGGAGGAAGGAGCCACUCAUUACAAAUAUUAUGCCUGAAUGUAUCUGAAAUAUACUCGGAGUCGAGCGUGGAUUUCAUGCUCUUUAUUCUGCUCAUGGUAGGGAGAAAUGAAUGUUCCCCCAAAAUAUCUGCUUUAUAUACAUUAUUUACACAAUGGGCCCCAAGUGAUUGCCUAAUUCCGGAAUUCUCCUGUAGGCCAAUCAGGUUGUGGAUUCACUUCCACCUGGACCUGGAUUGGAUGACUCCUGCAGACCAAUCAUACUGCUGCAUUCUGAAUCCUAUUGUUCUAGGACCAAUCAGACUGCUGCAUUCUGGAUCUCAUUGUUCUAGGACCAAUCAGACUGCUGCAUUCUGAAUCCUAUUGUUCUAGGACCAAUCAGACUGCUGCAUUCUGAAUCCUAUUGUUCCAGGACCAAUCAGACUGCUGCAUUCUGAAUCCUAUUGUUCUAGGACCAAUCAGACUGCUGCAUUCUGAAUCCUAUUGUUCUAGGACCAAUCAGACUGCUGCAUUCUGAAUCCUAUUGUUCUAGGACCAAUCAGACUGAUGCAUUCUGAAUCCUAUUGUUCUAGGACCAAUCAGACUGAUGCAUUUUGGAUCCUAUUCAACACCAUCCUUUCGACUUGACAGCUCAGGGAAGAUACCUAGCUUUAUAAAUUCGUAGAAAAUCCAUACUUUAACUGGGUCUCCUCAUUCCAACACCAUUUUAACCCUUAAAGAAAAGUGAAUUUGGGCUAUACCUCCCUCCAUGAACCAAGAAGCAGGAAGUCAUGUAGGCAGCAGGAACAGGGCAUCCCGCCAUAAUUCCCCAAGCGUGAGAGCACAGACAUGGCCCCCACCCAGGGAGCGACCAGGGGGCAACACUAGACAUCCCCAGAGGCAGUUGAGCAAGUCCGGUGUUCUGAAAGCCCAUCUCCAGACAAGUCCUGAGGGCAAGGAUAUGUCAAGAGUUUUAUUGUUCUUUUGGUGAUGGGGACUUAAGGGGUGUUGGGAAAGGGGUCUGAGAAAGUGACCUCAUGUUGGACUUGUUUACCCCCCUCCCCAUUUGUGACAUGCUAGUGAUGUAGUGAUGAUGUAUCAGUGAUGCCUCUCGAAGUGUAUUCUGGGGGAAAGAGGGAAGGUUUAAAAGAGGAGGUCACCCCUUACUCGGGGUUCUUACUCCUUUGGAGACCUGUUGCGCAAACAGUAAAGAUCAUGGUCUACUGACUGCUGUUUUGUUCCAAAUUAUUUGGCUGGAACUUCCUUCUUUUACUGACUGCAUGGACCCACAGGGGACUUGCACUUCCAUGAGCUGGGCUGUUGAGUGGUCUCUCACCCCGGAAUUUUUUUCAUAACAAGGCCAAAAAAUAAUAAAAAGGAGGUGAGUUUAAAGACAAGGCACACAGGUGAAUUAGGACAACCACUGGGCAGCCUAACAUGUCUAAACAACACAUUUAAACCUACUUUAAGCAAAAUCCAGACUUGCUUAAUUAUUCUGAGCAGUGUAAAUCUCCAAGGGACUGGAACUUGCCUUCAAAAAAAUGCAAUUUCUGGACUCCUAGAACUCUAAGACUCGGUCCCCUCCAACUGGGCGCAGACUCUGUCCUGCAAGAGGAAGUAAUAUUUGACCCUAGGCAGUGCCAAGUGAUUUGAAUAUAUGAAGCCUCCAAUUUCUCAUUUAACACAUGUUUGCAACAAACACUAAAAGCCAUAUUUAUUUUGGCCACAUCCCAGCCAUGCCCAUUAAAACACAAAGUCAAUAGUCUGAAGAAGCAUUGAUAACAUCAAUGUCAAGAGGCUCUCCUAAGAAUUUCACAGCAACCUUCUGGAUCAGACCAGAGGUCCAGCUCCUCGCCCAGAAUCCUGUUCUCUCCGUUGCCAACCAGGUGCCCAUGGGAAGCCCACCAGAAGGAGAGGAGCGAAACAGCACUCUCACUACUUGUGGUUCCCAGCAAUUGCCAUUCAGAGGCAUCUUUGGCGAUCCCUCGUAGCUGAGCAAGAUUGUCUUCCAUAAACACGGUUUUAAAAGCGAGUCCGUAAGUGACUGUGGAGGCCAAUUCUAGACCCACACGUCCUUCCACAGUGGGGACAUAGGUUUCCAGGCAGGAGUUGAUCACGGUGUGGAUUUGCCAAGCGUGCCUUCCUCUUAGCACGUUUCUCCCUUGCGUCCUCAGUUCGAGUGUCUUCAAAGUCCAUGACACCUUUGGCAAAGGCUGUUCUCCACCUGGAACACUUGCAGGCCAGUGUUUCCCAAUUGUCGGUGUUUAUGCUACAUUUUUAAAGAUUUGCCUUGAGACAGUCUUUAAACCUCUUUUGUUGACCACCAGCAUUACGCUUUCCAUUUUUGAGUUUGGAAUAGAGUAGUUGCUUUGGAAGACGAUCAUCAGGCAUCCGCACAACAUGACCAGUCCAACGAAGUUGAUGUUGAAGAAUCACUGCUUUGACACUGGUGAUCUUUGCUUCUUCCAGAACACUGGCAUUAGUUCACCUGUCUUCCCAAGUGAUGUGUAAAAAUUUUCAGAGACACCAUUGAUGGAAUCUUUCAAGGAGCUGGACAUGGCGUGGUCCAUGUUUCACAAGCAUACAGUAAGGUUGGUAGUACUAUAGCUUUGUAAACAAAGUCUACCUAUGUGAGGUCAAGAGGCUCUCUUAAGAAUUUCAUAGCAACCUUCUGGAUCAGACCAGAGGUCCAUCUCCUCACCCAGAAUCCUGUUCUCUCCGUUGCUAACCAGGUGCCCAUGGAAAGCCCACCAGAAGGAAAGGAGCGAAACAGCGCUCUCACUACUUGUGGUUCCCAGCAAUUGGCCUUCGGAGGAGGAAGAACAUCAUCACCAUGACUAGCAGCCAUCGAAGGCCUUAGUUGCCGUCUGGCACUCAACUGCCAUAGAUCACAGAGUGUGGUGGUCAUGGCAGGGCUCAGGAAAUCCCAGACUGGCUGCGUCCAAUACAGUGGUACCUCAGGAUGCGAACAGGAUCUGUUCUGGAGCCCUGUUCGCAUCCCAAAUGGAACGCAAGAUGUGACGGCGCAUCUGUGCAUGUCAUGUUUUGCCGCUUCCACACAUGGCGUCAUUUUGAGCAUCUGCGCAUGCACGAGCGGCGAAACCCGGAAGUAACGGGCUCCGUUACUUCCAGGUUGCCGCGGAGCGCAACUCAAACGCGCUCAACCCAAAGCACAUUCAAUUAAAGGUAUUACUGUACUCACUUUAGCAUCCACCUGCUCUCUAAAUGCAACAAGGAUAUGUUGUUAAACUCAAGGCAGAUCCCCUGGUAAUAAGGCAGUGCAAAUUCCCCCUCUUGACAGAGAUGUAGAAACCACACAAGCUGUGUGAGCAGACGGAUGUAAACAGUGGAUCUUGAUAGCCAAAUUCCCUCCGUCAAAGUCUUCCUGAUUGGUUGGGUUGUUCUGAGUCAAACAGGAACUGCCUGUUUGAAAGGGGAUAAAAGGGGACAGGACUCAGCUGGAAGCAGGGAGGUCUCUGUGUCAGUUUCAAGAGAAAAACCUGGGCUUGCCAAGCCACCAAGAAGGACAACAGGUGCUGAUCCCAAGAAAGAGAGCCAAGGUAAGUCUGGGAAAUCCAUUGGAUGUGAGCCUUGAAGCCUAGAACAUGCCUAGAAGUCUUGACGCUGAAUGGGCAGAUCUGAAAUGGCAUUGUUUUUGUUCAGGUCUUAUAUAGGACUGUUAGGAAUCUUUGGAGGACGACCGUUCUCCUGCCCAACGUGGUCCUUGAUUGACCUGAAUGCCUCUUCAGCAAUCCUGGCUGCAAGCAAAGCCCUCUGAGGCUGCUAAGGGGGCCAGACCCCCAUGGCUCCUGCAGGCGGCUGUCCCUCACUGCCAUCUCCACUCUGCCCUUGCAGGAUGCGCCCCACCUGGACUUGGCUGCUGGCCCUGGUGCUCCUGGCAGGCCAGGCGGAGGCCCAGAGCUGCAAGCCAGAACUGCAAGGCAUUGGUAAGACAUGGGGGACGCAAGGGCCAGUCUAUGGGUCAAAGCAACACUUUGGAGUUUUAUUACAAGCAAGCAUGAGAUAGACUUUAUUAAGUAAAUAGGAUUCCAUUUCAGUCUGUUGGCCCUGCUGUUUUUGGAGAGAGAGACCCUGGGUCAGCCUCAUAGGAUCAUAUAACUGUAGAGUUGAAAGGCACCCCCGGGGUCAUCUAGUCCAACCCCCUGCAAUGCAGGAAUCUCAACUCAAGCACCCAGGACAGGUGGCCAUCCAACCUCGCUUAAAAACCCCCAGGGAAGGAGAGUCCACCCCCUCUCGUGGGAGCCUGUUCCACUGCCAAACAGCUCUUACUGUCAGAAAGUUUUUCCUAAUGUUUAGUAGGAAUCUCCUUUCUUGCAACGUAAGGCCAUCAGUUCAAGUCCUACCCUCCAGAGCAGGGGAAAACAAGCUUGCACCAUCUUCCAGGUGACAGCUCUUGAGAUAUUUGCAGAUGGCUCUCAUAUCUCCUCUCAGGCUCCUCUUUUCCAGGCUAAGCAUAUUCAACUCCUUCAACUGUUCCUCAUCAGGCUUGGUUUCCAGACCCUUGAUCAUCUUGGUCGCCCUCCUCUGCACACCUUCCAGCUUGUCAACAUCCUCCUUAAAUUAUGGUGGCCAGAAUUGGACACAGUAUUCCAAGGCAGAAGAGAGUGGAACAAUUACUUCCCUUGAUCUGGACCCUAGACGUCUACUGAUGUAGCCUAGAAUAGCAUUCACUUUUUUUUUCUUCUGCAUCACUCAUCUUAAGUUGUGGUCCACCAAGACCCCUAGAUCCUUCUCACAGGAACUGCUAGUAAGCGAGUGCAAUUCAAUAGAAAGUCUAGUUUUGUUCUGUAAGCACCUCCUCAUUUCUCUGAGCUUCUGUGGGGACCUGGGGCUUCCAUCUCUCAAGUAGGGCACAUGGCUGUGGUAUAAUUAAGAAAUGCUACCACAUCGGUGGUACUGUAUUCUUUAGAGUCACUGCUCGUUCUGAGCAUGGAAGAAAUUUAAAUUUAAAAAUAAUUAUGAGCCUGCUGUUGCCUUCCUGUCCUGCUUGGGGGCUUCCCAGAAGUAUUUGAGUGGCCACUGCGAGAGCAGGUGCUGGAUGAGACGGGCUGGUCUCUUAUUGCACUAUUAUUUGUCCUUGUCCCCAUCUUCUUUCUCUCAUUCCCUGACUCCAGCUCGCAACCUGGCCAGAGGCCGCCCAACCUGUCAGUCCUCCAUCUACCCCCACGAGAUUAUUGGAACAGCAAGCAAAGCCGUGGAUGGGAACUGUGAUGGGGACUGGUAUAAAACAGGCACUUGCACCCACACGCAGCUGGACACGGAGCCCUGGUGGCACGUGGACUUGGGCCAGCAGUACGCCAUCUCUGCUGUGGUGGUGAAGAACCGCGGGGACUGCUGCGGUAAAAGACUCCAGGGAGCUGAGAUCCGCGUGGGAGACUCUGUGGCUGACCAGGGCAAGUCCAACCCCCUGUAAGUUCCAGUUGCCUCUUCCCAAAAUCUCCUUCCAGUAAUCUCCCUUCUUGUAACUUGGAGUCCUUGGUUCAGGUCCACCCCUCCACCCCAGGAGAAAAGAAGCUUGCUCCAUCUUCCAGGUGACAGCUCUUGAGAUAUUUGGAGAUGGCUCUCAUAUUUCCCUUUCUAGGCUAAACAUCCCCAAUUCCACCAACCGUUCCUCAUUAAGACUUGGUUCCCAGACUCUUGGCCAUCUUGGUCGCCCUCCUCUACACAGGUCCCAGCAAACACGAUGUGUACAGUUUUAAUUCUACCAACGUUUAAUGGGUGGUGGUGGUAAUGAUUGCUUUUCCAUGUGUUUUGCAGUUCUUCUUUUUAUCUGUAAGCCUGUCAUGGUCCGUUUCACGGGCGAUCGAGGUCCCGGCAGGGGACGUCGGGACCGAGGGCAAGAUGGCGGGGUGGGAGCAGGAACGGGGGUCCAGAAGCCAGGAGUCAGGAACCAAGAGUCCGAGGGUCAGAGAGUCAAGAAGCCGAGGGUCCAAGGGUCAAGAAGCAAGGAGUCACGAAGUCAGUGGUCCAAGGGUCAGGAAGCAGGGAGUCAAGAAGUCAGGGGUCCGAGGGUCAGGAAGCAGGGAGUCAAGAAGCCAAGGGUCUGAGGGUCAGGAAGCAGGGAGUCAAGAAGCUGAGGUUCAAGGAUCAGGAAGCAAGAAGCCAAACGCAGCAAGGCAGAAAGCGUGUUGCUGUGGCAAAGAGUCGAAGGAAAAUGCUGACCUUAUAUCCCUUCCCGGCUCUUGCCACCAGGUGCAGUGAGUUACAAAUCGGCCUCACCUGUGUGGCUGCGCCUUGCCUCUCCAGAACAAACUUAGGAAGGCCCCAGUCCUGCAAAGUCCUAUUGGUCACAGGGCCUGGUUCCUGCAUGCACACCUGACAAAGCCAUGCUGAGUCCCAUCAGGGGAAAAGACAGGGCAUAAAUAAAAACACCCACCCCACCCCAAUCCCUCCUUCCCAUUCACUCUUUAUUCCCAGAAGACCCCACUUCCUGGAUCAGGGAUGAAGUCCAGGCUUUCCUUGGUCUCCUCUCCUCUGCCCGACCUCUUCAUUUUUUUUUUUUAAUGAUUUUUAUUAAGGUUUCAAUAAAAAGUUAGACAGAAAAACAUAAAAAAGAAAUACACAAAUACACAAUACAUAAUUCAAAAAAAAGAAGAAAAACACAAAAAAAAACAAAGAGCAGAAAAAAGAAACAGAGCAAUUAAAAACAAUAUCACUUUUUCAUUUCCGUUUUUAAAUUUACUUAUUUUCUGGACUUCCUCAUACCUCCCUCUUUUGUAUUCCAGUCCAAAUUGUUUGUCCAGCAAUUUCUUUUCCACCUGCCCGACCUCUUCAGCACAUCACCAAUUCACUUCGCUUCUCCCUCCUCUGUGAAGUUGCGCUUUCCUUAGCCAAAGCUCUGCUCCGCCAUCAGCUCCUCACCCCCCUUGACCCCUGCGGCCCCCCCUCCUCCUGGGUCCUCCUCGGACUCCACCUGGCCGCCUCCUGUCUACUCUCUUCAGCCAGAAGCCACUGGCCACCAGGCGCUGCCCUUCCUCCAAUCCCUCGGAGAUCCGUUAGAUGCCCCUUGCCCUGCCUUGGCACAGAUAUCUGGCCCCUCAGUCUUUGUGAAGACCUGGGCAUGCAGGGGACCCUUAAAACAACGCCAGCGGUUAAUAAUGAAAAUUGGGGAAUGUGAGAAGCCACCUUUCAGUGAUAGGAAUGGGAGGGGCUGGCAUUUGGGAGUCCUUUCACAUACAGCUUUGAGAUUUCCCCCUUUAAAAUCUAAAGCAGCAUAGAAACAAAACGUAUGAAUAAAUGUAUGAAUGUCCCCAUAGACUGAGCUGCUUUGGAUUCACCUCCACUUUCUCUCUGCAGCUGUGGGACCAUCACAGACACCAGCCUUGGCUCCGUCAGCACCUUGUAUUGCAAUUGGCUCAAGGGCCGCUAUGUGAGCAUCCACAUCCCGGGAAGGGCCGAAUACUUGACCUUGUGCGAGGUGGAGGUCUAUGGCACCAAGGCAGAAGACCAGUGCUAGGGAUCCGCAGUCUCUGCGCGUGUGUGUUGGCGGGUGAGGAAAUAAAGAAUUAUUCUCUGGUAAACUU